AAACCCAGAGACUGUCAUGCGGGCCGUGGAGCUUACAGGCUGUGUGUAUGCCGUACAGCAAUGCACAGUGUGUCGGUAUCAUCAUUUUCUUUCAUAUGAAAAUAUCACUUCUACAUUAGAGCUGAUCAUGUUUUCAGUCCAGGAGGAUUUGGUGGUGUGUGUUCCUGGCCAUCAACAUCCAGGGAGAUGAGUGAAGUCAAGAAAAAAGAAUACUGGGAGGUGAAGGAGCUGCCCGGAGGGAGAUGAUGAAACUUCUGCCAUUGCCAUCACCCCAGGGCCCAGUGCUGAAUGAUUCCGUGAUAGUCCUGAAAUCUUAAUGUAAGUGAAGGGCUUUGUGUUUCCCAUGAGCCCCGCAGCUUAGAGGGAAAUGAGUCUGCCGGCAGCGCUGAGAGCCUGGAGACGGCCCUCUGUGGAACAGAGCCUCUGAGGAGCAUCCCUUUGCCACCAUCACCCAACUCAGAAGAGCCUUCUGAGCUCUGCUGGAAGAGCUCCUCGGGAUGCACAACACCAGCAGUUCAAGGGAAACAUGAGGCACAAAUCAGAGUACAGCCUGCAUGAAAACACUCACUCCUAUACAGUGUAUCUUUCCUGGAGAUGGCAAACGAAUAGAGAAAACAUCCCUCUGUGGAAGACAGAACAUUCAAGAUAUGGGAAGAUUUCAACCACACAGAUAAAAA